rnacentral:tRNA from 1 species
ACCGGGGUAGUUUAAUUGGCAAAACGUAGGUCUCCAAAACCUGAAUUCCCAGAUCGUUGCUGGGCACCGGUGCCA